CCUACGGGAGGCAGCAGUGAGGAAUAUUGGUCAAUGGACGAGAGUCUGAACCAGCCAAGUAGCGUGAAGGAUGACUGCCCUAUGGGUUGUAAACUUCUUUUAUAUGGGAAUAACAUGUUCCACGUGUGGGCUUUUGUAUGUACCCUAUGAAUAAGGAUCGGCUAACCCCGUUCCAGCAGCCGCGGUAAUACGGAGGAUCCGAGCGUUAUCCGGAUUUAUUGGGGUGAAAGGGAUGGUAGGUGGAUUGGUAAGUCAGUUGUGAAAGUUUGCGGCUCAACCGUAAAAUUGCAGUUGAAACUGGCAGUCUUGAGUACAGGAGAGGUGGGCGGAAUUCGUGGUGUAGCGGUGAAAUGCUUAGAUAUCACGAAGAACUCCGAUUGCGAAGGCAGCUCACUGGACUGCAACUGACACUGAGGCUCGAAAGUGUGGGUAUCAAACAGGAUUAGAUACCCUUGUAGUC
rnacentral:rRNA from 1 species